UUGUUAGCUCAGUUGGUAGAGCAGUUGACUUUUAAUCAAUUGGUCGCAGGUUCGAAUCCUGCACA
rnacentral:tRNA from 1 species